rnacentral:rRNA from 1 species
UACGUAGGUGGCAAGCGUUGUCCGGAUUUACUGGGCGUAAAGGGAGCGUAGGCGGACUUUUAAGUGAGAUGUGGAAUACCCGGGCUCAACUUGGGUGCUGCAUUUCAAACUGGAAGUCUAGAGUGCAGGAGAGGAGAAUGGAAUUCCUAGUGUAGCGGUGAAAUGCGUAGAGAUUAGGAAGAACACCAGUGGCGAAGGCGAUUCUCUGGACUGUAACUGACGCUGAGGCUCGAAAGCGUGGGGAGCAAACAGGAUUAGAUACCCCCGUA